rnacentral:lncRNA from 1 species
UUCCAUAGAAGUAGUUGAUUCAGGCCACAUUAUUUGAAAAUAUUAAAAUACACAAAAGUAUUUAAAUAACAUGUAUUGGAACCCUAUGAUGUGAGUCAGCAGCUAACUUUAUAUUCUGGACCUCUAUCGUUUUUGUUUUAUUCCGUUUAGCAUGUUAUUAAUCAUAUUUAAUUAAGUAAUGGAAGAUUUACUCCCCGAUUAAUAUUUUAGGUAUCACCCACAGUGCAUUGUGAAAAAGUGGCAGAUUGUUCUCUUACCUGGAUAAAGUUGGCAUCAUCACUGCGGUUGUUACUGCUGUUGUUCAGCUUCAGCCCCCGUCCUUGCUGCAUCCACCCGUUCUUCUAGCCUGUCCAUCCUGGCGUGGAUUCUCUGGCGCUCUGCCCUCAGCUCCUCAGCACUCGCAUGCACCUCAACAGACAUGUUGACCACCAUCUCCUGGGCUCUGAUCUUCAGUGCCUCUCCACCCUCCUGCAGGCUCUUGGUCUCCCUGCCCAAGUUGGCCACUGUGCCAUUGAAGGCUUUCAGCUUGAUGGAGAUGUCUCUCAUCUGGCUCUUGGUUUUCUCAACGUGUUCUUUGAGGCCCUGGCCCAGCUGGAGAAGCCGGUUUGUGUGUGAAUGGUGAAGAUGAUAUCAUGUGCAAGGAGUCUUAUAUCAGCUUCUUGAGGCAGAAAAUAAACUCAGCAAAAACAGAAAUGUCCUCUCACUGUCAACUGCGUUUAUUUUCAGCAAACUUAACAUGUGUAAAUAUUUGUAUGAACAUAAGAUUCAACUACUGAGACAUACACUGAACAAGUUCCACAGACAUGUGACUAACAGAAAUUGAAUAAUGUGUCCCUG